GGAGGUAAAAGUCGUAACAAGGUUUCCGUAGGUGAACCUGCGGAAGGAUCAUUAUUGUAUAACCGAGGUGCGAGGGCUGUCGCUGACCCGAAAGGUCGUGCACGCCCGAGUGCCCUCACACACAUCCAUCUCACCCCUAUGUGCACCACCGCGUGGUCCCCCUUUGGCUUGUUCGGAGGGGGGCUUACGUUUUCACACAAACUUUGUAUGCAGUGUAGAAUGUAUUUUUUGUUUUUGCGAUCACGCAAUCAAUACAACUUUCAACAACGGAUCUCUUGGCUCUC
rnacentral:misc_RNA from 1 species